rnacentral:rRNA from 1 species
AGAGUUUGAUCCUGGCUCAGGAUGAACGCUGGCGGCGUGCCUAAUACAUGCAAGUCGAGCGAACGGACGAGAAGCUUGCUUCUCUGAUGUUAGCGGCGGACGGGUGAGUAACACGUGGAUAACCUACCUAUAAGACUGGGAUAACUUCGGGAAACCGGAGCUAAUACCGGAUAAUAUUUUGAACCGCAUGGUUCAAAAGUGAAAGACGGUCUUGCUGUCACUUAUAGAUGGAUCCGCGCUGCAUUAGCUAGUUGGUAAGGUAACGGCUUACCAAGGCAACGAUGCAUAGCCGACCUGAGAGGGUGAUCGGCCACACUGGAACUGAGACACGGUCCAGACUCCUACGGGAGGCAGCAGUAGGGAAUCUUCCGCAAUGGGCGAAAGCCUGACGGAGCAACGCCGCGUGAGUGAUGAAGGUCUUCGGAUCGUAAAACUCUGUUAUUAGGGAAGAACAUAUGUGUAAGUAACUGUGCACAUCUGACGGUACCUAAUCAGAA